rnacentral:rRNA from 1 species
AGUGAACGCUGGCGGUAGGCCUAACACAUGCAAGUCGAACGGCAGCACAGUAAGAGCUUGCUCUUACGGGUGGCGAGUGGCGGACGGGUGAGGAAUACAUCGGAAUCUACUUUUUCGUGGGGGAUAACGUAGGGAAACUUACGCUAAUACCGCAUACGACCUACGGGUGAAAGCAGGGGAUCUUCGGACCUUGCGCGAUUGAAUGAGCCGAUGUCGGAUUAGCUAGUUGGCGGGGUAAAGGCCCACCAAGGCGACGAUCCGUAGCUGGUCUGAGAGGAUGAUCAGCCACACUGGAACUGAGCCACGGUCCAGACUCCUACGGGAGGCAGCAGUGGGGAAUAUUGGACAAUGGGCGCAAGCCUGAUCCAGCCAUACCGCGUGGGUGAAGAAGGCCUUCGGGUUGUAAAGCCCUUUUGUUGGGAAAGAAAAGCAGCAGGUUAAUACCCCGCUGUUCUGACGGUACCCAAAGAAUAAGCACCGGCUAACUUCGU